GCAGAAGCAGGAAUAGUUCUGUUGCCAUCUUGCCCCCAGCUAAGGGCCCUGCUGGCUCGAGCAGUCUCCACUGGGUCUUGCUGACACAUCAGCACCCUGUGCUCCUCCAGGCCUGCUGUCACACCCUGGCGCCACCCACAGGUUGGGUGCAGGUGGGCUCUGGGCAAAGUCAAGGAGAUGGCGUAUGGUGAGGUUGUGUGAGAAACUUCCAGCCUGUAAGCCUGACCACAAAAAAGGCACAGCUCCCAAAAGCUGUCCACGCUAUGAACUGAGGCACAAAAUACCUGGCAAAGCACCUACACUCCUGAGGAUGUGUAUUCAUGAAGUGAUGCAUCCCAACCAACAUUGCUCUCAGACAACAGAAAAUGGAGACCUGAGGAACUGAGACUGUUAACGAGAUAAUGAGCUGUUUAUCAGUAGGCAUCCACUCAGGGAAGUCUGCUUCUGGAGAAACACUUGGCAAAGGCAUCCUGGAAUUAUCCAUUUUACUAUGCAGAUGUGUUUCUAGAUGUCAGUGAAUACUUCAAGCAUUCAGGACUCUCAGAUUAGCUAUUGCAUAUUUUUCUUACAGGGUGUCAGAUUGCUAGAUUUCUGUAUUUCUUAUAACUAUUCAAUAAUGAGGAAAAUUAUUGCAUUGAAGUGUCAAAUACUUGUUCUACCAUCUUCCAUUCUUGUGUAAUUAUUUCAGCAUCAACUAUGACACUAUGACUUUGUCUUCCAGAUACAAAGACUCAAUAAGAAGUGUAAAGCAAAUUAACCUGGCUAAUCCUGGUUUUCCAUCCAAAAGAGGCUUAACCAAUGUUUCUUUCAGAUCUGGAUCUGAACUGAUGAAUUCAACAUAGGCCCAUCUCUUAUAAAAUAGUUGAUCUUCUAAUUAAAUAAAUGCUUUUCAGCUUUCA
rnacentral:lncRNA from 1 species